UAUAUUCCAGCCUACUCUUACAAGUGUCAGUGAAGAAACAUUGGUGGCAAAUUCUUCUGUCAAGAAACUAUUAUGUUAGAAGGCUGCAACAAGGAUGGAGCAGGGAAAAGACAAGGAGGUGAAAGUGAUCAGGGGUAUUAGUCAUGCAGGCGUCUGCUUUGUCUGAGAUUCUGUAGGACUGUUACUCAAAUGAAUCAGCCAGAAAAGGAUGACUGGUGUGGUGACUGCGGACAAGCAUGAGGUAGUUUGACUGAAAGGUACUUUCUCCCCCUCUUCUUUUCAAGAAACACUCAAAGGACUGGAACAGUACGCCUCUUUUUAUGGAAGGUCUUCUUCUCCCACCAGUAAUCUUCUUCCUCCAAAUAUCCCACCAGUGCAAGCCCAGUCCUCUUGCUGCAGCAUCCAGCAAGAAUUCUCUUCAAAGGAUGAGAAGAAAUUUCCCUCAACACUUUUUGUUCUUAAUGUCUCCCUUCACAUUAAUAUGUCUGUAGCAGACUGUACAAAUCAGUAUCACUGGUAACAGUUCCUAUGGCUUGCUCUGCUCCACUACAUUCUAACUGGUGCUCAAAAUGAGUUGUCUUUCUAGUUAAGCCUUAUCUCUGUUAAUAAGAUGGAAUUUAUUAAGUUCAAAAAACUCCCCACCCUUGAUGAUUGUAGCUACUUAAAUUGUUUUGUUCCUGCAUUAGUGAUAUCUGAUAGUCGUAAUUUUAAUGUGUAGAUAAAAAAGAAUCCAACAAAGUGGUUUUAACUGUCACUGCCAUUAUUUCUUAGUUGUAUUUAGAAAACAAGAUGCAUGCCUCCCUCAUGAUUCUGGUUUUAGUGCUUAAUACAUUUUUUAGGAAAUGAAGACAGCUUACUGUAGCUAAAUAAGAUAUUUUGUAGGCUGGUGUUUAGUUCUUUGACUGAGCCUUUCUCUGUACUAAAACAACACUGAAAUGUAAGUAUUGGGUUGAAGCUGCUGAGAACUGGAGUUUGUCAAAUCUAUUACUAUUUGCAGUUGCAUAAGUUCAGAGGAGCUGUGUUUGCUUACCUAUAAAAUUCUUCAUCUCUCCUUUUUUAGCAAGGCUAUUUAAAGAUCUGUAGCAUGACAAAAUCUCCCUUCCCAAUAACAAUAAAUAUUCAGUAAGGAG